rnacentral:lncRNA from 1 species
AGAAAUGAGGUUUUGGGGAUAAGAUUUCAAAUUUUGAAAAAUAAAAAAGUUAAAAUUUUCAAAGGAUAAACUUAGAAACAUGUUAUUUUGGUCAUUUUAGUUUUUGAGUUUUAUUUUGUGAUAUAAACUUAGAAAUGUGCUAUUUUGGAGAUUUGCCCUUUUAAAUAUAUACAUAUAAAUUUUUAAAUAUAAUUUAAAAUA